AUUGAACGCUGGCGGCAUGCCUUACACAUGCAAGUCGAACGGUAACAGGUCUUCGGAUGCUGACGAGUGGCGAACGGGUGAGUAAUACAUCGGAACGUGCCUAGUAGUGGGGGAUAACUACUCGAAAGAGUGGCUAAUACCGCAUGAGAUCUACGGAUGAAAGCAGGGGAUCGCAAGACCUUGUGCUACUAGAGCGGCCGAUGGCAGAUUAGGUAGUUGGUGGAAUAAAAGCUUACCAAACCGACGAUCUGUAGCUGGUAUGGGAGGACGAUCAGCCCACCUAGGACUUGGACCGGGCCCAGAAUCCUACGGGAGGCAGAAGUGGGGAAUUUUGGACAAUGGGCGCAAGCCUGCUCCAGCAAUGCCGCGUGAAGGAUGAAGGCUUUCGGGUUGUAAACAGCUUUUGUACGGAACGAAAAGCCCUGGGUUAAUACCCUGGGGUCAUGACGGUACCGUAAGAAUAAGCACCGGCUAACUACGUGCCAGCAGCCGCCGUAA
rnacentral:rRNA from 1 species